rnacentral:rRNA from 1 species
UCAGGACGAACGCUGGCGGCGUGCUUCAUACAUGCAAGUCGAACGAGAAGCUGACUUCGGUCAGUGGAAAGUGGCGGACGGGUGAGUAAUAUGUAGAGAAUCUGCCCUUGAGUGGGGGACAACAGAGGGAAACCUCUGCUAAUACCCCAUAUGAGCUAACUUGAAAUAGUUAUCUUGAAAACUCCGGUGCUCAAGGAUGAGUCUGCAUCUGAUUAGCUAGUUGGCGGUGUAAUGGACCACCAAGGCGACGAUCAGUAGCUGGUUUGAGAGGAUGAUCAGCCACAAUGGGACUGAGACACGGCCCAUACUCCUACGGGAGGCAGCAGUAGGGAAUUUUGCGCAAUGGGCGAAAAAGCCUGACGCAGCAACGCCGCGUGAACGAUUAAGCCCUUCGGGGUGUAAAGUUCUGUCAGUAGGGACGAAUUUUGACGGUACCUACAGAGGAAGCACCGGCUAACUCCGUGCCAGCCGCCGC